rnacentral:rRNA from 1 species
AACGCUAGCUACAGGCUUAACACAUGCAAGUCGAGGGGCAUCAUAGAGUGGCAACACUUGGGUGGCGACCGGCGCACGGGUGAGUAACACGUAUCCAACCUGUCCCAUACUCGGGGAUAGCCUUUCGAAAGAAAGAUUAAUACCCGAUGGUAUCUAUCUUUGGCAUCGAAGACAGAUUAAAGAAAUUCGGUAUGGGGUGGGGAUGCGUUCCAUUAGCUUGUUGGCGGGGUAACGGCCCACCAAGGCGACGAUGGAUAGGGGUUCUGAGAGGAAGGUCCCCCACAUUGGAACUGAGACACGGUCCAAACUCCUACGGGAGGCAGCAGUGAGGAAUAUUGGUCAAUGGACGAGAGUCUGAACCAGCCAAGUAGCGUGAAGGAUGACUGCCCUAUGGGUUGUAAACUUCUUUUAUAAGGGAAUAAAGUGCACCACGUGUGGUGUUUUGUAUGUACCUUAUGAAUAAGGAUCGGCUAACUCCGUGCCAGCAGCCGCGGUAAUACGGAGGAUCCGAGCGUUAUCCGGAUUUAUUGGGUUUAAAGGGAGCGUAGGCGGCGGGUUAAGUCAGUUGUGAAAGUUUGCGGCUCAACCGUAAAAUUGCAGUUGAUACUGGCCUGCUUGAGUGCGGCAGAGGCAGGCGGAAUUUGUGGUGUAGCGGUGAAAUGCUUAGAUAUCACGAAGAACUCCGAUUG